rnacentral:rRNA from 1 species
UACGGAGGAUCCAAGCGUUAUCCGGAUUUAUUGGGUUUAAAGGGUGCGUAGGUGGUUUAUUAAGUCAGGGGUGAAGGACGGCAGCUUAACUGUCGCAGUGCCUUUGAUACUGAUGAACUUGAAUAAACUAGAGGUAGGCGGAAUGUGACAAGUAGCGGUGAAAUGCAUAGAUAUGUCACAGAACACCAAUUGCGAAGGCAGCUUACUAUGGUUUGAUUGACACUGAGGCACGAAAGCGUGGGGAUCAAACAGG